GUGGUUCAUGACUGGGGUGAAGUCGUAACAAGGUAGCGCUAGGGGAACCUGGCGCUGGAUCACCUCCUUAAACGAUGAU
rnacentral:rRNA from 1 species